GGUAGAGUUCUUUAUAACAGGGGCAAAGUGGUUGUGAUUAGUUUCAGUAGAAUUAACAUCUUAAUGAGGCAGCAACAACAACUAAUACCAACAUCAUUAUCAUGACAACCAAUAUCAUAACAAAUAGUUAAUAGUCUGGUGAUCCUGGAAUCAUCUUUCUGUGAGGACAUGGUAACAUAACCUCAUUAACAAGUAUAAUUCUAUAUUCAUCAAGGAAAUAAGUCUGCACAUGUUCUCCCUCUCUCUCUUCAUAUGUACAACAUAGAGCUAAAUCCUUAUUGAUAUUCUCAGAUCAGAGAUGGCUCAGGGCAACAUGGUAACAACAUAAAACCAAUACCCUAUUGGCCUUCUUAGAACAGAGAUGACCUGAGGCUGCAAAGCAAUUAAAACCCAGAUCUUCUUGAGCAGAACUGAAUUGACAUGGGCCUACACAGUAACAAUUAUACCCUAUAGGUCUUCUCAGAUCAGAGCUGACUUGGGGGUUGAGAAUCUUGUGGCAACUUCACAUAAAUAACUGCCAAAACUAUAUUCCAAAAACUAAGCUCUCUCUUCAGGGCCACCAGAAAAUACUCUAGCCCUGACCUUUUACAGAGCUCAAGUAAGCCACAUUGCUCACCUAUAUAAGACCUCAUUAGAAUAAUACUCACAUAGUACAUAUAUAUAUGUGUGUGGGUGUGAACUAAUAUCAAUCGGUGAGAAUGAAAGCUCAACAUUGCAUUGGUGGAUAAAUAUUGUUUAUUUGUGGAUAAAAAAGGAAACCAUUGGUUUCGUGCAAAAAAGAUCUCUAGAAUUAUUCAAGCAACUGAUUUGAGAAUUCAAAAUGGAGACAAGUAUCAUUAUUUCCAAGUGGAUCGCUUGAACAACUUUUUUGCUGCAUGAACCUGGUUGCUUUGUUGAGCCAGUGUGUGUAUAUAUAUAUAUAUAUAAGCUACACUGGAAUACUGCUCACAAAGAUGAGACCACUAUAGAGUACUUCUGACGUAUAUGCAAUGGUGACGCUGCAGUUAUACAUAUAUCCUACAACCUAUUGAGGGACUACCCAAAUAUCUAUAAAGGUGAUCUGGUACACACAAACACACACAUAAAUACACAUAACCUAAACCAAAGUGGAGUACUGCACACACAUACACACACACUGUUGUGACAGUGAUGCUGCAACACAUGCACAUAUAUACACAAAUUCUAAACUAUAUUGGAACAUUCAUCAUAUAGUUGGGAUGAUGAUUAUACACAUACACUUAGACAUGUAGAUACACAUUGAGGUACUGCUCACCUAUUUGCAACAGCAAUACUUUUUGCUAAGCAUAUACACAGAUGCACACACACACACAAUCUCGCAUACACAUACUCUAUACUCACAUUAGAAUACUGUUCAUAUAUUUGUAAUUCUGCCUGUAUCACAUGCACAUACACACAUCUCCAAAUGACUGAAAGAAGGUUAGUUGACCGAUGACCAAAGAUUCCUUGACCAACGCUUCUUGCGAAAUGAGUAACAUCUCUGGUCAUUUAAUAACACCCCCAAUCACUGACCAAUACAUCUCACUACUGACCAACAAAUCUAGAAUUCUCUGCCUGUUCAGGAGUUUUCUGCAGAUAUUCAGCAUCCAAAUGGUCAUACUGAACUUCAGCAGUCUUUGCUGCUGUGAUGCUGGUCUGAGAGAAAGGUCAAUAAAGGCCAAGAGGUGGGGUGGAGGUGGAGUGUAUUGUUGUUUAUCUUUUGACCAACUUAUAGAAAUAAAAGUAUCAGAACAUACAGCAAAGGACACUGCCAUCUCUGACACAUCCACCACCACCAUCACCGCAAACAACUGUAACAAAACAAUUAAUGGAGUAAAUAGCACGAUUGCUAGAAAUAGUAGUCAAAUCUCCCUGGAAUCAUAACAUGACAUUUUAAAAAGAUAACAAUGGAUACUGCUAGGUCCCUAGUACACAGACAAAAAUAAGGGAUGAUCAGGCUGCAGUGCCUUUGAUCAUAGGUCUACUUUAUCAAGGUUUAUGUAGGGCUAAAAUCGACAAGAAUAACAAUGCCAUCACUAACAACAACAACACUACUAAUAACACCAUCACAAACACUAUUACCAACAUCACCCAGGGAGGCUUUAUGUAGUUGCUUGAACUGCUAGAAAUAGCAAUAAAAUCUCACUCAAAUCACACUGUACAAUCAUCAGAAAGGGAAGGCUACAGUAAAAGUGAUAAUGUAGUCCUAGAUUACCUUUGUGGUGAGGGGUGGGGGGAUGGUCCUGGCCAGAACAUAUUUGACUAUUGGUUUGCUAAGUUAGGGUUGACCUGGGGUUAAACAACAACAUUAGCCAUUAAUAUAACAGACAUCGACAAUGCAAAUAGCACAUGAAGUGAUUAGAGAGACACAAUGGUGUUGUACGGCCUGCUAGAAAUUGCAGCCAAAUCACUUUCACAUCGCAUACUACAGGCUUUAAAACUUGAAAGGACAGGUUGGUCAUAGCUGAGUGCAUUUGAUCAUAUGUCUGCUCAUCUAGGUGAGACCUGUGGUUAAACAACUACAUCACAUCCUCUAUAUUUCCACUAUUAUCUCCUUUAUCAAAUACUAAAUCAGUACAACUAGUGGCUAUGUUCAUGGCAGAUUGGCAGAAUCGCUAGAGCACUGGACAAAAUACCCUACUGUUCUAUCUCUUUACAUUUGGAGUUCAAAUCCUGCUGAAGUCAUUUUGAUUAUUUUCAUACUUCUUCCAGCAGGUUGGCAAAAUUAAAUACUGGAUGAGGGUUGUAUACUGGAUGAAGAUGCAUGGCUUUUGUGGUUAAGGGGUUGCACUCAUGAUUACAAGAUUGAAGUUUUGAUUCAUGGACUGUGCAGUGCAUUUGUGUUCAUUUCAUGUAGCUCCAGUCAAUUCAGGUGUGAAAGUGAGAAUCCCUGCGACAGACUGGUGUUCUGUUCAGGAGAGUUUGUUGUUAUCUUGGACACCAUGAGUCCUACGAGUCCCAGAACUAAAGAAACAGUGAUAUCCAGGAGUUGAUAAUGAUGACAACUGGAGAUCGAUUUAGUUAACUGUUGAUCUGUGCCAACAUGCAGUGGACUCGCAUGAUACAGGACAGCUCGAAUCUCUGUCCAACCACGCAACCCUGGUGACAGAUAAAGUGACAUUCCUACUUGAAUUACAAUGCCAUCACAUCAAUAUAAUCUGCCAAUAUAACGCCAUAUAUUACUGCCAACACAUCACACAUACAUCCUAUCAUUCUCUCUCACUCUGUCACAGGCACACACACACACUUUUCUGUUCAAAAGCUGAUGCAUUAAAAGGGAUAAUGAAAAAGAAAAAGAUAAACAGUUGCUAAGUUUUCUUAACAUUAGGAUGAUUGGUUGCUAGGUAGGUAGGUUGGUUGGUAGGAGUGAUACAGUUUUUGUUUGAUCAGCUGGUCGCUUUGGAAAGUGUAGCUGGUUGGUGAUGGUUGACAAUACAGCUGUAUAGUAUGGCUGGCUAGUUCGAAAGAAUUAUAGUUAUUAUUAUGUAAGGCAGCUAACUGAUAGAACCAUUAGCAUGUUGGGAAAAUGUCUUGUGGUAUUUAUUCAGGCUCUGUUCAUUCUAAGCUGAAAUCCCACUGAGGUUAACAUUACCCUACAUUUUCUAAAGGUUGUUAAAGUACCAGUUUAGCACUAGGGCUGAUGGUAUUGACUACUUACCUCACCUUAAAACUACUGCCUUAUACCUAAAUUAGGAACCAUUACUAUUAUUAGUAUUAAGGUAGCCAGCUAGUAGAAUCAUUAGCACUCUGGACAAAAUUCUUUGUGGCAUUUCAUCUGUCUUUACGUUUUGAGUUCAAAUUCCACUGAGGUCAACUUUGCUUUUCAUCCUUUUGAGGUCAAUAAAAUAAGUACCAGUUGAACACUGGGGUUGAUAUAACUGAGCUGCUCCAUCCCCCUAAAAUUGAUGGCCCCGUACCUUUAUUAAGUUUAUUAUUAUUAUCAUUCUGCCAGGGUCAACUUUGCCAUUCAUCCUUUUCAGGGUUGAUAAAAUAAGUACCAGUUGGACAUUAGGGUUGAUUUAAUCGACUCUGCCUCUACUCCAAACCUUCUGGCCUUGUGCUAAAAUUUGAAACCAUUAUUAUUAUUAUUAUUUUAUGGUUUAAAGGAAGAGUGAACAACACCCAUGACUUCUGCUGGAGUUCUGAGACUGGCGGCGGUGGGGUGGAACUCUCAGAAGAAACCACAACAAAUGGUUUGAUGUUAAACCUACCACUGGUCUUAUCUCUGUAUGUAGUCCUUGAGUGCAGGACCUUGAUGAAAGUGGGCUUCUCCAAAAUCCUGCAACUGCUGAGCCAUGAAUCAUAAACUGGGGAAUGAAGAGGGCAUGAGGUUUAAGUGACAGUAAAUAGGGCAGCCUCCUGAGGCAAUAAUCUUGGGGGCCAGACCCCUCACAUAGUUGUAUGUUAUGUAUGGGGUUCGCAUGGUAUGUAUGGUUGAACAACAAAGUUGGGUGGUAUGAAUCUAGCUUGGUUUUGCAAUGGUUGGCUGAUUAAGAUGGUAUGACUCACCAGUUUAUGACAAUAAUUUCAGGGUGUGGCUAUUUAGACAAGUACCACCUGCAACACAAGACGUUAAACUUGCAGUGAAGGGAAAUCUAUGUCUCGGGUUCAAUUUCUGAUGGAAGCGUUAUUCUUCUUUUUACUAUUGUUGGUCAAAAUUACUGUUUCUAGAAAUGCAUGAAUACCAUAGGAUCUCAUUUACCAAAAGUUUUGUGCUUGCAUAGAUAAGAAAUCCUUUUGUUUAUUGUAAUUUUUAUUUUCAGAAAAUUUUGAUGUUUUUCUUUUGCUUUAUUUUAUUUGUUAUUUUCCAUUCUCCCUUUCAUUUACAAUUUUACUUUUUUCCAUUGCUUUUUACAUUAUUAUUAUUAUUAUUUUAAUUAUUAUUAUUAUUAUUAUCAUCAUCAUCAUCAUUAUCAUUAUUAUUAUUUGGGCACUGACUUGGCAGAAUUAUUUAAAUGUCUGACAAAAUACUGUUUAGUAUUUCUUUCGGCACUUCAUGUUCCGGGUUCAAUCCAGCUUUGUUCAACUUUGUCUUUCAUCCAACCAAGGUUGACAUAUUAAAGUACCAGUCAAGUACUAUAGUCAGUGAUACUGACUAAUACUUUCUCCUUCAAAUUGCUGGUCUUGAGUCAAAAUUUUCAACCUUUAUUAUUAUUAUUAUUAUUAUUAUUAUUAUUAUUGCUAUUAUUAAGGCAGUAAGCUGGCAGAGUCAUUAGUACGCCAGACAAAAUGCUUCAAGGAAUUUCUUCUGGAUUUAUGCUCUGAGUUCAAAUUCUACUGAUGUUGACUUUGUCUUUCAUCCCUUUCGGAGUUGAUAAAAUAAGUACUAGUUAAGCUCUGCAGGUUGAUGUAAUUGACUAGACCUCUCCCCACAAAACUUCAGACCUUGUGCCUGUAGUAGAUAGGAUUAUUAUUAUUAUUAUUAAUGCAGUCAUUUGGUAGAAUUAGUAUAGUAUAGGACAAGAUGUCUUGCAGUAUUUAAUCAUGGGCCCUUAAUGUUCAGAGUUCAAAUUCCAUCUAGUUCAACUUUUAUCAUGUUUCAUCCUUCUGAGAGUUGAUAACAAUAAAACCCCACCAAGUACUGGGGUCAAGGUAAUUGACAAACCCCUUUCCCUGAAUUUGUGUAAACAAUUAUCAUCAUUAUUUGUGUGUGUGUUUACGUAUGACAAACAUAUAUAUGUGAAACUUCAAUUUCGUUUGUUUGUAUGUUUGUCAGCUAUUGCUGUGUCUCCAUAAAAGUAUUGGUUACAGGUUCAAUUCUGACAUCAGCUGCUGUGCCAUCAAACAUCAUAAAUGUCUUACAAUUCCAUUUUUUUAAACAUUUUUCUCAAUACGUAUGUGCAUUUGUAUUUAUAUAUGUGUAUGUGAGAAGGUGAAUGUGUUCAUGUGUGCAUAUCUGUGGAUAUGUAAGACUGUAUAUGUCAAUGUAUUUGUGCAUGCUUGUGUGUAUGAAUGUGUGCAUGUCUAUGUAUGUGUGUGCGUGAAACAAGGGCAAAGCAGUAAAAAAAAAAGGUGAAAAGGACGAAGAGCAAUAGUUCUUCAUGCAGUCUCCUGCCAAUACCACCACAGCUACUCUCAAAACCUCCACAACACAUCACACCCCUCUUCUUGGAUUUGGAAGUUUACACACACACAUACACGUAUAUAAGUACUGCUGUAAUAACAACUACGACAACAGCAGCAAUGGGACAUUAGAGAGAACAUGAAGACUAGCAGUGUUAUAUUACCAACAGUGACAGCUGAGUAAUAGUAGCAUCAAACAACAGCAGCAACAAUAAUGACAACAGCAGCAGUGGCAGCAGUAAUGGUGACGACAACAACAGAAGCAACAGCAGCAGCAGCAACAACAGCAGCAGCAGCAACAAUAGCAGUACAACAACAGUAGGAGCAGUUGUGACAAAAACAGCAACAGUGACAAUAAGAACAAGUAAAAAAAAAAAUCUGGAGUAACAACAACAAGAGCAAUCGCUGCAACAUGGCAAACAGCAACAACAACGACAACAACAACGACGGCCAUAGCAACGGGAACAGUAGAAACUGCUGCAACAAAAGCAACAGCAUAAACAUCAACAACCACAAUAAAAGUAACAACAACAAUAACCAAGUACAACAACAAUGACAGGAAUAAAGAAAAAAAGAAAAAGAAAAGCAAGCAAAUGAUUAAUGCUACAAUGCAGAUCUUUUCCUUGUGCUGUUAUGUUUUGGAGGCUAGACUUUGAUUUUAAUAGGGUUUUAUUUAUUAUAACCAAAUACAUAAAUGAAAUUAUUACUCCCAUUAAGGUGGUGAGAAGGCAGAAUGGUUAGCACACUGGGCAAAAUGCUUAGUGGUAUUUUGUCCAUCCUUAUGUUUUGAGUUCAAUUUCCAUCAAGGUUGACUUUGCCUCUCACGCUUUCGGGGUCAAUAAAAAAAAAAGUACCUGUUGAGUACUAGCAUCAAAGUAAUUGACUAUCCCCCUCCCCUAAAAAUUUCUGGCCUUCUACCUAUUAUUAUUAUUAUUAUAAUAAUAAUAAUAAUAAUAAUAAUAAUAAUAAUAAUAAUAAUAAUCAUUAUUAUGAAGGCUGUGAAUUGGCAGAACUGUUAGCAUGCUGGGCAAAAUGACACUAAGCAUUUUGUUCAUCUGUACGUUCUGAGUUCAAAUUGCCUUUCUUUCUUCCAGGGUCAAAGAAAUAAAUACCAGUUGAGCACUGGGAUUGAUGUAAUUGACUAGUUCCCCCCACCCCUCAAAUUUUAGGCCUUGUGCCUAUAAUAGAAAGGAUUAUUAUUAUUAUUAUUACGAUUUAGGGCAACAAGUGGUGAGAAUCAUUAGAAGAUCUGACAAGAUGCCUUGUGGCAUUUGUUGUAGAUUUUUAUGUUCUGAGUUCAAAUCCUGAGGUUUUAUCUUGGCUAUCAUACUUCUGGACUGAUAAAUAAAGAAUGUGUCAAGAACUGGGGUCAAGUUCAUUGAUGAACUUUCCCAAAAUUUUUGGCGUUGUGACCAUGCAAGAAGCAAAUACUACUUUUAUUAUUAUUAUUAUUAUUAUAAUUAUUAUGAAUGUAGCUACAAAGGCAGUGAGCUGGCAGAAUUUUUAGAGCAUCAGAAAAAGUGCUUUGUAGUAUUUCUUGUGACUCAUUACUUUCUGAGUUCAAGUUUCGCCAAGGUGGACUUUGCUUUUCCUCUUUCAGAGUUGAAAAAAAGAAGUACCAGUUAAGUACUGGGAUUGAUGCAAUCAAUUUCUCCCCUCCAAUCAAAAUUGCUGGCCUUGUAACAAAAUUACAAAGAAUUAUGACUGUAGUACUGUGGAAAAAAAAAUCUGUUUUGCGACCUAAAAAAGUUUUUUUAUUUUUCACAAUUCCUAAUUUGUUUAAAUACUGGUGUUAUUGUUGUUGCUGUUGUUGUAUUUUGGCAUCGUUUCCGAUGAUAAAAAAUGCACAAAUUAUUAAAAUACAAAAAUGAAAAAAAAAAAAAAAAAUCAAAGAAAAUAUGUAUGUUGCCAAAAACAAACUGAAUAUAAUAAAAGGAGUAAGGGAGAGCGCUUAG
rnacentral:lncRNA from 1 species